CGGCGAGUGAAGCGGUAACAGCUCAAAUUUGAAAUCUGGCCUCACGGUCCGAGUUGUAAUUUGUAGAGGAUGCUUCGAGCAUGGUCUGGCCUAAGUUCCUUGGAACAGGACGUCAUAGAGGGUGAGAAUCCCGUAUGCGGUCAGGUGCCUACGCUCAUGUGAAGCUCCUUCGACGAGUCGAGUUGUUUGGGAAUGCAGCUCAAAAUGGGUGGUAAAUUCCAUCUAAAGCUAAAUAUUGGCCAGAGACCGAUAGCGCACAAGUAGAGUGAUCGAGAGAUGAAAAGCACUUUGGAAAGAGAGUUAAACAGUACGUGAAAUUGUUGAAAGGGAAGCGCUUGCAACCAGACUUGCGCGCGGCCGAUCAUCCGGUGUUCUCACCGGUGCACUCGGCCGUGCUCAGGCCAGCAUCGGUUUUGGCGGCUGGAUAAAGGCCCUAGGAAUGUAGCUCCUCUCGGGGAGUGUUAUAGCCUAGGGUGCAAUGCAGCCUGCUGGGACCGAGGACCGCGCU
rnacentral:rRNA from 1 species